rnacentral:rRNA from 1 species
CGCGUGAAGUAGACCGCCUGGGGAGGUACGGUCGCAAGAUUAAAACUCAAAGGAAUUGACGGGGACCCGCACAAGCGGUGGAUGAUGUGGAUUAAUUCGAUGCAACGCGAAAAACCUUACCUAGCCUUGACAUGCCAGGAAGGCCUGAGAGAUCAGGCCGUGCCCGCAAGGGAAUCUGGACACAGGUGCUGCAUGGCUGUCGUCAGCUCGUGUCGUGAGAUGUUGGGUUAAGUCCCGCAACGAGCGCAACCCUUGUCAUUAGUUGCUACGAAAGGGCACUCUAAUGAGACUGCCGGUGACAAACCGGAGGAAGGUGGGGAUGACGUCAAGUCCUCAUGGCCCUUAUGGCUAGGGCCUCACACGUCAUACAAUGGUCGGAACAGAGGGAAGCGAAGCCGCGAGGUGAAGCCAAUCCCAGAAAACCGAUCGUAGUCCGGAUUGCAGUCUGCAACUCGACUGCAUGAAGUCGGAAUCGCUAGUAAUCGCGGAUCAGCAAAACGCGGUGAAUACGUUCCCGGGUCUUGUACACACCGCCCGUCACACCAUGGGAGUGGGGUUCACCAGAAGACGUUAGGCCAACCGAAAGGAAGGCGGCGUCCACGGU